rnacentral:tRNA from 1 species
GUCCCUGUAGUGCAAUGGAUAGCGCUUCGGUCUUCUAAUCCAAAGUUCGUGGGUUCGAAUCCCACCUGGGAUG